rnacentral:rRNA from 1 species
GAUGAACGCUAGCGGCAGGCCUAAUACAUGCAAGCUGAACGGUAAAUAUUGUAGCAAUACGAUAUGAGAGUAGCGUAAGGGUGCGUAACACGUAUGCAAUCUGCCCUGUACAGGAGGAUAGCUCGGGGAAACCCGGAUUAACACUUCGUAAGAUGAUAGUGGGGCAUCCCACGGUCAUUAAAGUCGCAAGAUGGUACAGGAUGAGCAUGCGUCUGAUUAGCUAGUUGGUAGUGUAACGGACUACCAAGGCGAUGAUCAGUAGGGGAACUGAGAGGUUGAUCCCCCACACUGGCACUGAGAUACGGGCCAGACUCCUACGGGAGGCAGCAGUAGGGAAUAUUGGUCAAUGGAUGCAAGUCUGAACCAGCCAUGCCGCGUGCAGGAAGAAGGCCUUCUGGGUUGUAAGCUGCUUUUGCCGGGGGAUAAAAAUUCCCAUGCGUGGGACAUUGAAGGUACCCGGUGAAUAAGCCACGGCUAACUACG